rnacentral:rRNA from 1 species
AUUGAACGCUGGCGGCAGGCCUAACACAUGCAAGUCGAACGAGUGGCGGACGGGUGAGUAAUGUCUGGGAAACUGCCCGAUGGAGGGGGAUAACUACUGGAAACGGUGGCUAAUACCGCAUACCAUCAGAUUGGCCCAGAUGGGAUUAGAGUGUUGUUGGGGUAACGGCGCAACAAGGCGACGAUCCCUAGCUGGUCUGAGAGGAUGACCAGCCACACUGGGACUGAGACACGGUCCAGACUCCUACGGGAGGCAGCAGUGGGGAAUAUUGCACAAUGGGCGAAAGCCUGAUGCAGCCAUGCCGCGUGUAUGAAGAAGGCCUUCGGGUUGUAAAGUACUUUCAGCGGGGAGGCGUUACCCGCAGAAGAAGCACCGGCUAACUCCGUGCCAGCAGCCGCGGUAAUAC